rnacentral:rRNA from 1 species
GAUGAACGCUGGCGGCGUGCCUAAUACAUGCAAGUCGAGCGAACAGACGAGGAGCUUGCUCCUUUGACGUUAGCGGCGGACGGGUGAGUAACACGUGGAUAACCUACCUAUAAGACUGGGAUAACUUCGGGAAACCGGAGCUAAUACCGGAUAACAUGUUGAACCGCAUGGUUCAACAGUGAAAGACGGUUUUGCUGCCACUUAUAGAUGGAUCCGCGCCGCAUUAGCUAGUUGGUAAGGUAACGGCUUACCAAGGCAACGAUGCGUAGCCGACCUGAGAGGGUGAUCGGCCACACUGGAACUGAGACACGGUCCAGACUCCUACGGGAGGCAGCAGUAGGGAAUCUUCCGCAAUGGGCGAAAGCCUGACGGAGCAACGCCGCGUGAGUGAAGAAGGUCUUCGGAUCGUAAAACUCUGUUAUUAGGGAAGAACAAAUGUGUAAGUAACUAUGCACGUCUUGACGGUACCUAAUCAGAAAGCCACGGCUAACUACGUG